rnacentral:ribozyme from 1 species
UUUUUUUUUUUUUUUUUUUUUUUUUUUUUUUUUGAC